rnacentral:lncRNA from 1 species
CCGGGGCCGGGCCCUUAUCAACAUUCUUAACCAAUUGAGAAAUGCAAUUUAAAACUGCAGUGAGAUUUCAUGUAUCCACAUGGCAACGGCUUCAAUCACAAGACUGGCAAUAACAGUUAUGGAAGAAGGAUAGAUUGAAACUAAGAGAAAUACCUUGUGACCAGUCAAUUGAAAGGAACUCCAGCCUGCCCUGCUUUACUUCAAAUCCUGUACUCAUCCGAUGCCACCAUGUCAGGGACAUUGGCCAUGCUAAUGGAUGCUGCUUUCAACAGAGCGUUUAUUGAAGAUACAGAAAUGGAGAUCAUCUAUGACACUUCCUGUAUUGAUCCCCAGUUAAAAGCUGAGGGCACUGAAGUUAAAGCAACAUUCAUCGAGUGACUUGUGUUCAGAGAUAAUUUACCGGUCUAGGUAUUUUGCUUUCCAGUACUUUAAAUUUACAUAAGUUUAAGAUUUUAGGAUUGAAUGGAUUGAGGUAAAAUGUGCUUCUUCAACUAACAAUCUCAUUAUUAUUUUCUUGAUUGGAAACUCUAUCAGGCAG